AGCGGAGCGAUGCGCUCCAGCACCGGGUAGACCCACACGCCCGUCACCUGGUGCACCCAACACGUCCUGGAGGAGGAGGGGGGAGAAAACGGUGUUAACUGGUGAUGGAAUUAAGAAACACUCGGUACCAGAGGAUGUAUCCCAAACCGAAGAAGCAAACUGCCGCCAGACCCCACGACCUGCUGGGAUACCGAUGGCUUUCCCCUCGGAGGAUUUGAAAAGGUCAGACUGAAGAUGCCAAGUAUGUGCAAACUAACAAGAGUAACAACGUCUCAGUGCUCUCAGACGAGGACAGAAUAGCUUUCUCUCCUGGGGUCUUAAAUUCUAGGUUUCCCUCCCAUCAUUAUACUGUACACACACACACACACACACACACACAUCCUGACGCUGCACUUUUACCCAGUAUAUCUCGGUGGAAUUCCAGUCUCUUGGUCGUGUUUAAGUUUAGUCUCUGCUGAGAGGACUCGCCGCUCGUAAAUAAUACUCCCUUUAUUCUCGCUGUCCC